GUGUCAGCAGCCGUGGUAAUACGUAGGUGGCAAGCGUUAUCCGGAGUGACUGGGCGUAAAGAGUUGCGUAGGCGGUUUGUUAAGUGAAUAGUGAAAUCUGGUGGCUCAACCAUACAGGCUAUUAUUCAAACUGGCAAACUCGAGAGUGGUAGAGGUCACUGGAAUUUCUUGUGUAGGAGUGAAAUCCGUAGAUAUAAGAAGGAACACCGAUGGCGUAGGCAGGUGACUGGACCAUUUCUGACGCUAAGGCACGAAAGCGUGGGGAGCGAACCGGAUUAGAAACCCCAGUAGUCC
rnacentral:rRNA from 1 species